AGCGACACUCGAACCGACGAUCUC
rnacentral:siRNA from 1 species